rnacentral:rRNA from 1 species
CACGUAGGGUGCGAGCGUUGUCCGGAAUUAUUGGGCGUAAAGAGCUCGUAGGCGGUGUGUCGCGUCGGCCGUGAAAACCUGCAGCUUAACUGUGGGCGUGCGGUCGAUACGGGCAUCACUGGAGUUCGGCAGGGGAGACUGGAAUUCCUGGUGUAGCGGUGAAAUGCGUAGAUAUCGAGAGGAACACCAGUGGCGAAGGCGAGUCCCUGGACAACACCUGACACUGAGGCACGAAAGCUAGGGGAGCAAACAGG